rnacentral:lncRNA from 1 species
CUUCAAAUUUAGAGGCCAUGUAAUUGGUAACAAACGGAGCUGAGGUAAUGGUCGAGGAGACGGAUCCAUAAUUACGGAACCUAUAAUGAGGAGUUACAAGUGCAAUUGGCUAUAAUUUGAGGAUUACGAAAAUCUUAUAAUUUAAACAGUAUUAUUAUAAUAAAUAAAUUUUUUUUAAUUUUAAAAAAAGUGUGAUCGCCUCUCGGCCUCAUUAGAUUCAACCGUCGUUGAUUAUGGACAUGGCUGUCGGUGUGGUCAAGCACAACUGCCGAAAUUCGAGAAAGAGAAACAAAUGAACUCCUUUCCGUUGUGGGUCAGGACCUUAUGAUUUGUGCCCAAAAUAGAUAGAACGAUACGGUUCGAAAACAGUAGCACAUUGACACAACGACAUACAAAACAAACAUUCACAGUCCACACCACUUGCUUUGGCUGGGGUCACCUACCGUAUGCCUUUUAAAUUAGGAAAGUAGGAACACAGUGUGACUCUGGAGAAUGGAUGAUGAGAAUAAUGAAGAUUACUACAUUGUUUGGUAAUUGAGGGAUGAUGAGUUGCUUAAAAUGUGUGUAUUGUGAUAGAUAUUUAUUAAAAGUAUUUUCAAGUGAUGCCACAUAUUACUCUAAAAGGUAUUUAGGCCUCCGUUGGUAUGUUUAAAGCCAAGCUUUUUUUUUAAGACUUGACUACUAAAAAUGUCAAGAAUUUUUGGACUUUUUUGCUUUUGAGUUUUACUUUACAAACAACAAAAAAGCAAAAAAGCAAAAAGCAAAAAAGCCAACUCUGAUUGGCUUUUUUGCUAUUUUAAGCCAAAAAAAACCAGAAAAAAACUAAAAAAAAAUGGAUGCCAAACAGAGCCUUAAUCAUUUUCUUGGACUGAAUCAUUGUUGAUUAGAGAAAUUACUUACAGUUUUUUUAUACUUUUAAUUAUCAGAUCGCACUACAUAUUUCAAUUUUAAUUAGGUCAGUUAAAAAUUAUUCGAAGGUAUAAUGGUUUUACUAACCAUUGUCCAAGAUGUGGUGUUUCAAUAUACACGUUUCAUGAAUAUUUAUACUAUUGAGAUGUUUGAAUAUACUGUUCAUGAAAGAUUUAUAUCCAUGUUUUAAUAGCAAAAAGGAAAUACAUUUUUGUUGUUCCUGUUAAAACUAAGUAUUGAUGUGAUAUUUUAUCCCAUGUCGUUUAAGUGACAAAAGAGGCAAUGUGAUUUCAGUAACAUGCCAAGUGAUUCCUAAUUAGGAAGCAUUAGAUGAAAAUAUACGUUCAUACUUAACUUUGUAAAGUAUGUGGAUGACCACGGCACCAUUAGAAGUAAAAGAUAGAUAUAAAAACAAUUUAACUAAAUGUUACACUGUGUAAUUACACUUCUUAUUAAAUUUCAUUUUCGGCGGCCGGCCCUCCAAUACGUACGAUGAGCAGCCCAAUGUAAUUUGUUAUUUUUUACAUCGAAUUUUCCUUAGCAUUUUCCUCUUUAAAAUCAUAGACAAGAAAGCUCACAUUCAAUUUCACAAAAUUUAACUAUUCGAGUUGAAAUAAAGUCUUGCAGUUACAAACACCUCAUUUACUUGAAGAAAAAGCAAGAAAACAUAACUAUUCCAUAGAAACUUUGAUAUAGGGAUAUCCUGGAAAACCACAUUAGGGGGGAGAGAGAGAGAGAGAGAGGAGCGAAACAAAAGCAACCCUAAUGACAGAAAAGCAAGCCUAGUCUUUAACUUCCACACUUCUCUUUGAUCUGCAGUAAAAAAAAUGGACAAAUAUAUUAUACUUAGAUGGAUAUGAAGUGAAGACAUACAUAUCUUUAAUUACAAUAAUAUUAAUUUGAUUAUCAAAGCCAACAUGAAAGCUACAAAUGCAAAAGGUCUCAUAACCAAAUCAAUAAAAUUAAUAAUUAAUAAUAAUAAUAAAAGAAUAAUAAAUCUAAAUUGACCACAGAACUAGCAAUAGAAAAUAUAUGGACAGAAAUGGUAGAUUCCACCUUACACAUAUUGCAUAAGCUUUGUGUAUGAGAAGUUAUAUAUAAGUAUAGAAAGACAAACUUAAAUAAAGAAUAAAAGUAAAAAUGUAUAUUAAACAUAAAGGAUAUUCAGAAUAUAUUUUAUUUUUUUUUUUUUUUUUGAAAUAUUGUUAAUCAUAAAUAGCAAUAUAUAUCAUAUUAUAUUCUGAAUAUAUGUCUAAAGAUAUUCAAUAUAUUCAACAAAUGCUACUACCAUGUAUUUGAUACACGCUAAUGGAAUCCCAUGCAUACAUUUUAAAUAUUGAGUAUUUUUUAGAUAAUAUUUUAGAUUUUGUCUAUUGCUGUUGAAGAAAAAAAAUCAACAAUGCUAGUCUCACGAAUCCAGAAAAGUAGGAAAAUUAGAAAUAUAUCAAAAAUUCAUUAAUAGCUUAAUUUUUGGGUAUUUAAUGUAGUCCGUUGGGAAUGCUUAAAAGUCAAGUUAUUUUUAAAAUUCUACCAAAAGAGUCAAGAUUUUUUUAUUUUUUUGUUUUUUGGCUUUAUUUUAGCUAAAACAUAAAAAAAUUAUAUAACUGACUAUUUAUUAUAAACUUAAAAAAAAUCCACUAAAAAAAAAUGGUACCAAAGGAGUCUAAGAAAAAGAGGAUCAUCGAAGUACCAUAUGAGUGUGGUGUUUGUGGAGCAGAACGUGAUGGGAGUUAACGUGCGCUGGAGGUAGUCGAAGCCCCCAGCUGGAGUGAAAUGGAGGUGACGCCAAACUCAUUGGGCCACCCCUGGUGACCAGUUGCAGUGCACCAGACAUCGAGCGUCGUCCCCGAACGCUCUCGCACCGUUGAAUGGCCCACCCAACCUCCCCAAACGCCACGUCGUUAAAUGAACACCGCGACUUUUGUGAUUCCACCAGGCAAUCGCACCUGCGCGCAGAGGAUCAGGUUCCGCGAUUAGUCAUGUGAACGAGACCAAAGCAAUGGUCAAUCAAGACAAGCAGCAGGGAGGGUGCGGGGAGACAUGCACAAGGUCCAUUCUUAGAAUUUACAUCGCCAAUUCCGGACGAAAGACAAUUAUACCCGUCCCGAGUGUGAUAUUGAUAUGUGGGACAUCUCACACUAUACAGCAUCUAGAUGAUAUUUUAAUAAAAUUUUAAUAUAUCAAUGAUUAUAAAUUUUAUGCACGUAAAAUAUAGUAAAUCAAAACGGAAAAUAUAAUCUUAAACAUAUCAUAGUUUAUAAAAUAUUAUGUACAUGUGACAUAUUAAUUAAAUACUGCUAAAUAAAAAACUUCAGUUAUAUUAGGUUCACAUAAGUGAUAUUAAAAUCAUAAUUAUUAGAUAUAAGUAAAACUUCACAAAUACCUAAUAAAUAAAUAAAUUUUAUAUAUAAUAUAUAUCAGUCGAAAUCAAAACCGAACAAAAAUGAGUUAAGCAUAAAUUUGCUAAACAUGAUAUAUAUAUAUAUAUAUAUAUAGAUAUUAAUUCUAUAUAUAUAUAUAAUCAUAGACUUUAUUAUAGUUAUUUAUAUUCCUCACAACGCUUACUUCACAUGUGUAAGAUGCACUCUAGCAUAUUAACAAUAAAACAUAAUAUGUAAGGCAAACACGAACAACCACUGCCAAAUAUGGGAAGCGCUUUGUUCAAAAAUUGAAAAAAUAUUAACGAAAAACAAAUAGUUAGUUCAUUUGUGAGUAAAAAUAUGUUUUAAUUAAAUAAUGAAACAUAUUGUUAAAUUUUUCUUUUACAAAAAUCUACAGAACAAACUAAUUUUAAAAAAGUUUACACACAAACGAAAAAACUCGAAUCUUUAAAAACUUAAAUCACCUAAUUAAAAAUUAAAAAAAAAGAACUAUGCCUAAGAAAUAUGAUUGAGAUUCAUGUAAAAAGAAGUAUUCUUAAUUCCUCAUAGAGUAUUAUAUUAUCUACAUAAUGCUAACCAAUUUAGAACAAACCCCUUGUUUACCUAAAUCUGGAGUGAUGCAGAUGGAACAGUAGGAGGAGGAGCAAAGAUUGAAUAACCACCAUAAUAGUCAUUGAUGGCUGUUGCUGUUGUGUUUUAGCUUCAACCAACUUCUUCUUCCUCAACUUCUUUUGCAUAUGGACAAACGCUGACCACUCAUCAUCAUCAGCUCCCUCAGCAACACCCUGGCCCACCGCCCACCGCCCGCCUGAUCAUUCCUGGGAACCCGAACCCGGACGGAAAUAGAAGCCCUCCGGCCUCGCAAACUCCGCAUCCAGACCCCAAAAAGCUCGGUCUGGUUCACCGAUGGGAUUGCGAAUUCGCCACGUCGACAAACGGGGAGGCCUUUGGGGAGAGGAACGCGCUUCUCGGAGCGAUGAGGACGACGACGUGGCGGUGGAGGACGGCAGGCCGUGGGUGUUGGGGGGUUGUGGGGUUGGUGUUUGUUUGGUGGAUUGGAGGUGGCGCUGUUGCUUGUGUUUGGUGCGGGACUUUCGGUCGGAACAGUAGAAGACGUGGGGCGUCGCCCACCUGGGCAAGUAUUCUUGGAGCUGGGCUCGGAUCUUUUCGGAUUCGUCGCGGGGCGGGUUGACAUGCCCGAGUUGAAGAGGCUUCCAGGGAUCCGGAUUGCUCUGGCUUCGGAUUCCACCUGGGUUUUGGCUCGGGGGUUCUUUCUUCAACUUACUACCAUUGUUUCACAUUCACAAAAUACCAAGUUAAAGAUGAACCCUAAAAAGAAAAAAGACAAAAACUAACUGCACAUAAAAGUACAAAAAAUGGAAAAUACACAAAAAAUUAUGAACGAUUGUAGAUUUAAUUCUGAUUACGGGACCCCCCUUUGAAUGCAUAGGCCCAUACAUGAUGAUUUUUUGUGUAAAAGCAAUGAUUUCUCAAACAAAAAACCCUAGAAAAUUUGAUUCUUUCUAAAAUCACAACAUAACUUCUUUCUUGAUAAAAACAGCACUUUUUAUUCAUAGAAUCAAUAAGUGAAACAAGAACAGUUAAACAGACUGCUUGCGUUUUCAAAUUCAGCUUUUUAGGAAAGUUCUGAUAAUCGUUGUAAUUUAAAAAAAUUAUUUUUUUGAGAAAUUUAGAAACAAAUCUUGAUCA